GGAAUAUUGCACAAUGGGGGAAACCCUGAUGCAGCGACGCCGCGUGAGUGAUGAAGUAUCUCGGUAUGUAAAGCUCUAUCAGCAGGGAAGAUAAUGACGGUACCUGACUAAGAAGCACCGGCUAAAUACGUGCCAGCAGCCGCGGUAAUACGUAUGGUGCAAGCGUUAUCCGGAUUUACUGGGUGUAAAGGGUGCGUAGGUGGCGUGGCAAGUCAGAAGUGAAAACUAUGGGCUCAACCCAUAGACUGCUUUUGAAACUGUCAUGCUGGAGUGCAGGAGAGGAAAGCGGAAUUCCUAGUGUAGCGGUGAAAUGCGUAGAUAUUAGGAGGAACACCAGUGGCGAAGGCGGCUGUCUGGUCUGUAACUGACGCUGAGGCUCGAAAGCAUGGGUAGCGAACA
rnacentral:rRNA from 1 species